UCAUCCCUUCUUUGUUUUCUCUUUCAAGUUCAAAUCCCAAACUUUCUCUUCUAAUUUCUUCUACUCUCAUUUUUUGUUUGUGAAUUAUUCUCUAUUACUUUGUUCCUCUCCAACAAUUUUUGUUUCUACUCCUUGUCUCUCAAAACAACUCUAUAUAUUUGCAGAUCUAAAUGUUUGUCAUUGCUUUUGUUUGUUUAUAUUUUUUACAGAUCCGGAUUUUUUAGUUUUGGAUCUGUUAUUCUAUUUUUCUGGAGAAGAUUGGUUACUUUGUUUGAUUUUGUUUUCCUCAUCUUUCUUCUUAUUCAUGACCCAUACAGACCAAACCGAGUGAUCUGUCGAACCCGAAAAACCGCAGCCCGAAAAACUGAAAUAAAAUAUGGGUCGAUAUGGACCUCGUAAUAACACAUGUGGUUUGGGUCGGAUGGACAUUUUGGGCCCACACCCACCCAUUGUCCACCCAUACACACGUACCAGUGUCCUUCAUUAUUCAUUUUCCAAAGUUAGAAAACAACCUUUUACUCUUCUCUCUCACGCAAAAGCUUCAGCAACAACAACAAAAUCAUUUUACUCCAUUUUGGAAGCUUUGAGCCUUGCGUGUGUCUCUACACACAUGUUCUUCCAUCUUAAUCAAUCUCCCAAAGAAGAAGCUUCACUCAUCUCUUCCCUUGCAGCCAUAUCCAACAAAGAAAAACCCCAAAUUUCCAAUCUCUCACAAAUAACCCAUUUCUAGUCAUGCAUGUUUGAGAUUGUUCUUUAGAUUCAAGAUUUGAAGUGAUGUAAUCUAAGUCCUAGCCACUGCAUGUGUAGACUCCUCUUGGAUUGAGAUGUUUGUUCAAAAAUCUAAGGUAAGAUCAAUAACUCCAAUUUCAUUCCUUUCCUUUCCAAUGAAGCCUAAAUUCAUUCUUAAGUUUAUGCUCAUUUGGGUUAUUUGCAUGUGAGCACCUUUUAAGAGUUAGAGAGAAGAAUUAGCACUGAAUAAGUAUGUUAGAGCAGAAGAACAUGGGCACAAGAUGGAAGCUUGAAGUUUUGAUUGGGGAUUUUUGAAAAAGUUUGGGUUAAACUCGUAUUUUUAUGGGCUACGGGUUUGCAUUUUGAGCGGCUCAAACGGAUGAUUAUAAGCGUGUGAAACAGUUCGGAAUUGCUAUCAACUCAGAGAUUUUGUUGAUUUUCAAAGUUGGAAGGCAGACAAACAGGGGUUACACAAUUUAAGAAGAGUUUAAACACUGUGAACUCUGGCGGUGAAGAGUGACAAACAGGGAGUCUUUAAAUAGUCACCAAUAGUAUGAAUUCAAGACACUAAAUUUAAGUUAAUGCCUUAGACUCAAUGAAAUGUGUGGCUGCUGUAAAAAGGAAAGGAGAAGUGCAAGAAGACGAUAUUUACAUUAAGUUUCUCACUUCCUUUUCAUUGAUGAAGAAAGAGGUGAGUGAAGAUCCAUUCAUCUUGCUUCUUGCAAAGGGCGAGUAACGAGAAUGAAGUUGGAAAGUUGCUAUUAACUAUUAUUGAGAGAAUGUAGCAAGGUUAGCAAUGCCAUGAUGAAGGAGUGGCUUGCCAUGUUUUCCCUUAGCAUUCUGAUUUACAAGGAAUACAAUGAAGUAGAAGAGAAUGAGAGAGUGAAUAGUGCUUAGUGAACGAUAGAUCUCAAUAGUCACAUUUUUUUUCUUUAGGUAUUGUUUUCAGUUUAUUAGUUCUUGGUUUCAGUAAAUAAAUCUCAUGUUACUUAAAUGCAUUAGUCACCUAUUGUCUUUUUGUUCUAUUUGGUUUUUAUUUUUGUUUAUGAUUAUAUAUACACACAUGUUCCCUCUUCAAUUCAAAAUUCAAAUUUGUUCAAUUACCUCUUUCCCUUCUAUAUCUCACCGAGUUAAAUAUUGGAUGGCCUAUGUGAGGUUCGAAUUCCUUCUCUUGCAAAAUUUCAGCUCAUUGUGUCUAAUUUAAUGUUUCCUUUUACUUUGUAAAUUUGUAAACCUGAUUUUGUUUCUAAAACUUUUGCGAGGUUCAACAGUUGUUGAUGUCUUUCAAGAUCUAUUGGUUAAAAUGUAUUCAAGCUGAAGGGAAAUAUGGGAAUAGCUUUCAAUAUCAACAAGCUUGAAAUUUAUUAUUUUGUUCAUCUUGACAACGGGACUGCGACCUUAAAGAGUGAUUUUAGGUAACACAUGAAGUAUGAGAUUAAAUACGUCAGGACUUUAUAUCCAAUACCAAGUAAUUAGUGCACAUAAUGUGCCAUUCUCUUGAUAUGGUACCAUUCUCCAACUACAAGGAAACUCUAGAGUUUGUGGAAGAUUAGCUAAAGCCUGAGUGCAACUAGGAUAGAGUUAUCUCAAUUUCUAUUGUAUCGUGUACUAUUAAAAGUAUGUACACUAUCGUGUACUAUUAAAAGUAUGUACACUGCAUUUUUUAUUUGUAUAUUGUCUCAACUUAUAUAUUAAUUACAUAGAGAUUAAGCACAUUCUAUUGGUGUUGUCUUAUUUUUCACCCUUUCCUUUAUAGUGCACGAUUCAAAAGCACCCAAUAAAGUUUAAUCAAUGGAGAGCUUUA